GAUGAACGCUGGCGGCGUGCCUAAUACAUGCAAGUCGAGCGAACAGACGAGGAGCUUGCUCCUCUGACGUUAGCGGCGGACGGGUGAGUAACACGUGGAUAACCUACCUAUAAGACUGGGAUAACUUCGGGAAACCGGAGCUAAUACCGGAUAAUAUAUUGAACCGCAUGGUUCAAUAGUGAAAGACGGUUUUGCUGUAACUUAUAGAUGGAUCCGCGCCGCAUUAGCUAGUUGGUAAGGUAACGGCUUACCAAGGCAACGAUGCGUAGCCGACCUGAGAGGGUGAUCGGCCACACUGGAACUUAGACACGGUCCAGACUCCUACGGGAGGCAGCAGUAGGGAAUCUUCCGCAAUGGGCGAAAGCUUGACGGAGCAACGCCGCGUGAGUGAUGAAGGUCUUCGGAUCGUAAAACUCUGUUAUUAGGGAAGAACAAAUGUGUAAGUAACUAUGCACGUCUUGACGGUACCUAAUCAGAAAGCCACGGCUAACUACGUG
rnacentral:rRNA from 1 species